rnacentral:rRNA from 1 species
AUUGAACGCUGGCGGCAGGCCUAACACAUGCAAGUCGAGCGGAUGAAGGGAGCUUGCUCCUGGAUUCAGCGGCGGACGGGUGAGUAAUGCCUAGGAAUCUGCCUGGUAGUGGGGGAUAACGUCCGGAAACGGGCGCUAAUACCGCAUACGUCCUGAGGGAGAAAGUGGGGGAUCUUCGGACCUCACGCUAUCAGAUGAGCCUAGGUCGGAUUAGCUAGUUGGUGGGGUAAAGGCCUACCAAGGCGACGAUCCGUAACUGGUCUGAGAGGAUGAUCAGUCACACGGGAGCUGCGACACGGUCAAGACUCCUACGGGAGGCAGCAGUGGGGAAUAUGGGACAAUGGGCGAAAGCCUGAUGCAGCAACGCCGGGUGGGUGAAGAAGGUCUUCGGAUUGUAAAGCUCUUUAAUUUGGGAAGAAGGAAAGUGUAAGAAACCAUGCCUGUUUUGACGGUACCAAAGGAGUAAGCAGGGGCUAACUACGUG